rnacentral:tRNA from 1 species
UAGAUAGAGGCUCGCUGGCUUGAGCUUUUAAUUGUUAAUUAAAAAUUUUGUAGGAUCGAGGCCUUCCUAUCUAG